GGGACAGAUAUUUCAUUUUACAUUUGCCCCAAUAAGAUUUACAAAUAUUUCUAUGCUUUUUUUAUGUAAUUUUGGGAAUGAACCGUAAUAUAAGAGAUGUGAAUACCAAUGGAAAAAUUAUUUAAAAUUUCAGCCAACAAUGAAGAUCAAAAUUGACAAACCAUAAAUGAAACUUCGAAGAUAUGAUCUGUGUGAAACAUUGAAUGAUUGAGCAACAAUUUUGGAGGAUAUAGAUAAAAAUUCAGAAUUCUUUGUUAUGUACUUUUUUUUUUAUACGUGGAUUUUUGCAGAAAUUCCAAAUUGGUUGAGAAAAAAUGGAUUCUGUUAAUGAACUAAUGAAGGACACAUCCAUUGAAGAGUAAAGUAAGAAAGUGGAAUAAUGAAAAUAAAGUUUCAAAUAAAUAUAGUCACUGGUGAAAAACAUAAUAGAAAAAGGGAUUGUCUCAUAAUUGGAAAGCAUUCAAAGUUGUCUUCACAGCAUUUUCCUGAAAAACUUCUAUAUUAACCUUUAUGCUUUUAAUAUUUUAAUGGUAGACCUCCACUAGCGGAAAAAGCACUAGAAAAAGAAAUAUUUGUUUGUUCAUAGAUUUACACUUGCAAUCCAAAAAUUUUUGUUUGCCUCGGUAGUUAUUAGAUAGAAUUUUUAGUUUGAGUAUUGGAAAAAACUUUUCAACAAUGUUCAACUACAUCCCUAUAUUCUUAACAAUUAUAGAGAUUUUUCACCUGAUUUCAAAAUAAGAGACAAAAACUGAUACACGACGAAAAAUCUAUCUAUAAGCCAAUAUUGUUCUAAUUGAAUAUAGUAUAAUCAACUAUAGAAAUUGAAUCAAUAAAAAUUACAGCAAGAAAUUUAAAUGAACAUAUGAAAAGUUCAGUAUACAUAGUACUAUUACAUUUCCAAGUUAUUUUGGAACAAAUUAGGAAAUAUAAAGGAAAGAUGUUUUUGUCAAAUAUAUUAACUAAAUAAUGAAAAUUUGAAUUACUACUAUAACUGUUACUAGAUAUCUAGAUUUGGCAGGUAUAACAAGGAAGGUGAAGGCAUUUAAAACAAGCAUUAAACUUUUACACAUAUAAUUUAUACUAAACAAUAUAUAUAAUUCACUAAAAAUGAGAAUGAAUAUAUAUCGAAUAUAUAAUCAAACCUCACUUAUUUUUCUUUACAAAAGAGUUCUAAUAGCAUUAUGUGCAAUUUUUUGACAUUUAAAGUGG